GAGGAGGAGGAGUUGAAGGAAAAUAGGGAACAGCCAUAACAUUCAGUGGCUGUCAUCUCAUGUGACAAGGCUUUGUUUUCCCCUUUCUAGGGGAGAAUUGUGAUGAGAACCUUGUGCAGCCUUUACAUUUCAUAUGUCACAACAACUCACGUACUGCAGAAAGGACAAGUAAUACACAAAAGUAUGGACUAAGAAUGCACAACUGUUUAGGAAAAGAAUGUUAAAUGGUAACAAGUCUGGUUUUAAAGCCAGUGGCCAGUGGGAACAAUUGACUGAACACUUCUUCCAAAACUGUAUCAUUAAGGGGAGCACUGUGUUUAUGGUACCUUUCUGUACUGAUUGGACCAUCUCUAUUGACACAGGUUUCUCAUGUUACCAGGUGAUAACACAUCAUUAGUUCGAUGGCUUCCAUUGUUCUGUCCUUCAUUAGAACACCUAUAAAUGUGAGCAGUGAGUAAAUCCUCAGUAUCUUCAUUCAGAAAGAAAAUUUAUAAGAACAAAGAAGACUGUCUCAUGCUUGCCACUCCUAAACUUGAUGUUUUAUCUCAGAUCUCAGCUAGCUGUUCCACAGGAGCUUGAAUUCAGGACUAAGACAUGAAUCAAUUACGUGUUCAGCCUGUGCAAGCCUGAAAAGGGGUCAUUGGAACAAGAAUACAUUCAACAUCCUCCAUUCUUUAAUGAAAUCAGCAAUCACAAGAAAAUGUGUCUGAGAUAAAGCAAAAUGGAAAGAAAGGAGAUAGAGCCCUUGACAGGGAAAAAAAGAAAAAAAAAAAGAGAGAGAGAGAGAGAGAGAGAGAAACUAUCUAUGCAUGUGCAUAUGAACUGUAGGUGAUAAAGAAUGAAAGAUAGACAAGUGAAGACACACAAGGAGAGAAAUGGGGAGGGAGAGGGAGGCAGGGGAAUCUACAAUGAAGAGUAGGCUAAACAGAAAAAAA